CUUACAUACUUAUAUACAGAUUAAAGUCUAUCUAGCUCACUGCAGAUUUGAGACAGCAAUACAAUGAAAAAAUAUUUUUGAUAUUUUGUCAAGAAUGCAUUUUGUGGUAGUUUGCCCCAGGUGACUUGGUAUGUACGAACAUGGCAAUAACAUGUUGUACAGUUAGCUAUGUGAAGUGUACUACAAACUUGACUUUAUUUUAUUGGACGUCAUUUUUUUUGUAUUUUCCUCUUGACACACAUAUUUGCACUCAAAACAACUCACCAGCUAACAUGGAUCUUUGAAGUUCACUUUCUUCUUCAUUGACUCUUUCAAAUUAAAGUUUGUUAAUUUUAUUUGCUGAAAGGAAAAUUGGAUGAAAAUGACUAUAAACAAAAUAAUACUUAGCAACCAUCCAAACAAGUUGUUGAUGAAGAUGGAGAUACUGUUGUUCAAAUUUCGACAUACAUUCAUCAUCUGAAUCAAAUUUUGGUUGUGGUGAUCUCACCCCGUGAUGAUGUUGUGGAUGCGGGACAUUAGUUGUAUUGUUGUGAGCAGUGCCUAAUGAUGAUACAAACAAACCUUGCAAGCUGACUUCCUUCUUAGAUUAUAAGGUUUGAAUAACCCACAUUGUGAGAGAAAAUGAAAAACAUGUAUCAAGUAAAUUCACCCUUUUAUUUAUAACAUUUCAGUUCUGUAUUCAAAGUUUCGACAUAUAUUUAUUAUUUAGACUCGGGGUUGCUAGAGUUUUCCUACUACCUUUCACUCGGGGGAGAUAUUACUAUUUUGAUGCUAAAUAUUGAUUUUGACAUCUUAUUUGUUGAGCUGUAAAACUCCACAAGAGUAAAACAUUUGAGAUGGAUGGUUAGAUGGUAGUAGUUGGUGUUGUUGGGUUUGUUAUGACAUUAUCCAAGGAAGAGACCAUUAUAAAGUACAGCUACAAAUAGGAAGCUAAUGAAAACUAAGGAAAUUCAAGCACAAUUGUAGAAACCGAACAAGUAUGUUUGUGUCAACCAUGUGUUAACUCUCACAUGUAUCAAAUUUGAAUGUCAUCCCUUAUAUUUCGGGGUACCAUGGCUUGAAUAAGAUUUAGGUAUAUAUAAAAAAAUUAUUUCAAUAAUCAUGUGUUUCUCUGAAAUCUUAUUUACACCAACAUUCAUGUUAUCGGUUAAUUAUAUAAUAAGAGGUGAUGUAUGAAUUAGUUUUUAAUUGAUGUUUGCACCUCUUAGAGUUAAUUGAGCAUUGUAAGUAUAAUUUUACCGAUACUUGUAUGUCAUCUUCUUUUGUUGAGAAACAUGUAUGUGUUCUUUCAAAUUCACUAAUAUUGAUUAUUUAUGAAGUGAGUUUAUUGAUGAUA